rnacentral:rRNA from 1 species
UACAGAGGGUGCGAGCGUUAAUCGGAAUUACUGGGCGUAAAGGGUGCGUAGGUGGUUGAUUAAGUUUCAUGUGAAAUCCCCGGGCUCAACCUGGGAACUGCAUGGGAAACUGGUUGGCUAGAGUAGAGUAGAGGUGAGUGGAAUUCCCGGUGUAGCAGUGAAAUGCGUAGAGAUCGGGAGGAACAUCAGUGGCGAAGGCGACUCACUGGACUCAUACUGACACUGAAGCACGAAAGCGUGGGGAGCAAACAGG